UACGGGGGGAGCAAGCGUUGUUCGGAUUUACUGGGCGUAAAGGGCGCGUAGGCGGCCACCGCAAGUCAAUUGUGAAAUCUCCGGGCUUAACUCGGAAAGGUCAACUGAUACUGCGGGGCUAGAGUGCGGAAGGGGCAACUGGAAUUCUCGGUGUAGCAGUGAAAUGCGUAGAUAUCGAGAGGAACACCUGCGGCGAAGGCGGGUUGCUGGGCCGACACUGACGCUGAGGCGCGAAAGCUAGGGGAGCGAACGGG
rnacentral:rRNA from 1 species